rnacentral:lncRNA from 1 species
CAGCUGGAACGAGACGUCAUUCGAGAUUUGAAGACUGCACGGCAACUUCUCAGAUCCUUUAAAUUAAAGGUAUGUGACUUCUAAUUUUUACAGUAUUUUUUUUUCACACACUAGUGUACCAUGUAUUCGCGAGUCGUCACGCGUGUAUAUAAGCAGCAUACAAAUUUCAAGGCGUGGCGAAACAUGACUGGAGUGUAGAUAAGUAUAAUGAAAAAGGCUGUCGUUGUUGGCGCACAAAUCUGCACCAAUCGGUACAGAACAGCUUGUUUUGUUGUGUAUAUAGUUGUAUCUUUUGGCACAAAAACGGCACACAGUUCCUAAAGCCUAAUUAAAUUGUUCACUAUGUUCCAUACGGGACGUAGCCUGCUCGCAGACGUUGUAUUUCUUACGCCAAACGACGAGGCUAUACGUCCCGUUCACUGCGCAAAAACAAGUCACACAUAACUACAGCAGUACAGGUUAUACAGUGUGCUCAUGUACUAAUGACAACACGUUUGAUUUUCACUGUAUUCAUUUUCAGAGCCUAACAAAUUGUCGAGCAUAAACCACUCUUUUUCCAACGAAAGUGCAAGUUCAAAAUGAAGAACAACUUCAACGCUCUGUAUUUGUUAAUCAUCGCCACAUGCUACAUAAGUUACACCGAAGCAGCCGAAUGCUAUGCUUAUAGCGGGCCGGAUGGAGCAAGACAAUGUAUCAAGCUGCUGGGGGUACAGCGACUACCAAUGGGCUACUUGCCACACAAACUUGUACAUCAAACUAAAGACAAAUGGCAUGCACUACUGCAGCAACCAGUUGUAUAUAUACUGCCUCUAUCCAUGUAUGUUGGCUGUGUAUGGAAGACGCAGUGGUUAUGUUUAUAGCAGCUGUCGGUGUUCCCCAAAUACAGCAUCACAGAGGGCAAUGUACAGCGUUCCAUAUAUUGUUUUUUUGGUUAUGAGCUCUUUGCUGGUAUCAUAAAUACUGUACUAUAAGACGACUUUUAGUAACUAAGUAACUUCCAUAUGUUGUCACAAUAAUUUUGGUGCACACUAUUUCGUUAUAUUUUUAGUUUUUUAGUACUUUAGUAUUAAGUUAGCAUAAUUUGGUGUUAUGCAUGCUUUGUGAUGAUGCAGUGUGAUGAUUAAGAUUGGGUUAUAACUGGGUUAUGAUCAGGAUUAAGAUUAGGAUAAUCAAUCAUCAGUAUACGUUAAUCGAUAAUCAUGUUUUAUAUCAUGAUCGAAAAUGUAAUUCGCACAUGUAAUACAGUAAAAGCACUUCAAUAAAACUUAUGCUGGUGUACAGUCAGCAAAACUG